CGGGUCUCUAGCUUUGGCUUUGAACACAAACUCCCGUGCCGUCUCACCCACAAUGAUCUGCCGCAGAACAUUGUGAUUAAUGACUUGUUAAUCGUUUGGAACAAUUAGCCAGUCUUCUACUAUGCGCUCUGGUGACCACGGCUAUCAAGCCCCUACAAGCAAGUCGAGCAGCAUUUCAAAAAAUGUAAGCAUCGCGUACGUACCGCAACAACAACAACAGAUAUCCCUGCCGCUAGUGCAACGUUCGUAGGAACAUGCUCGGGUCGCAGAGGUCUUUUGAUACUCUCGUCAUCACAGAAAAAACCACGGUUUGAAGGCUCCAACUUGGUCGCAUGUAGAAGUAAGUCAGCUAAACCAAUGACUACAAAACACACAACGUCCAACGUCCAAAACAACUGACGACUCGAGCUCAUUUCGCUUGGUGGGGUGCCUCCACGGUGUAACUGAAAAUACCUGAACAAGCUGAAACUUUGCAACGUACUCCGGACCGUGUCGUCGAUGCAAAUAAUUUGUCCUUGCCCAACAAAAUCCAGAAUAAAUAUUUAUGAACUGACACUCGGUUGAAUGCCGUUGUUAACGCUUUUACUUGUCAUUAGGGAUAUCAGCGUCAUUCUGCGGCAUUUUUGAGUGUUUAGAGCAAACAAAUCCCACAAUGGUUCGCACAAUGUCAACAUCUAGGUCUUUGUCAAAACAGACACUGCCGAAAGCAAUGAAUGCUCGUGAUCCUCCUUUGCUAAGUCAACCAAAAUGGUUCACAAUUCAUGCGGAAAAAGGCUCGAUUGAUUCGUUAUUACUUAACAGUGCAAUGAGAAAAGCAGCUAAGAUUAGAUUUAUUAGCAAAUAAAUGUACCUGUGGUUUAAUAAAGAGUAGCGGACUUUGAGAUUCCCUCGUUGCUUGCAUGAAUUAAUAAAUAAAGGGAAUUCACACACCGUUAUCACUUUCUAAAACAAAACUUCACACACGCAAGGAGAAAUAUGUCCCAACUAAAUAUAACAGUUACUUUUUCAUGUAAAAAAAUACAGCUAAUAAAAGGUACACUGUUCAUAUUUAAUGCCCUCUUUGUUACUAAACCUAGGGGUCUAUACUUUGACAGGAAUGAAAUAAAGUUACAUUGACUGUUUACAACAAAGGGUCAUGAAAUAUUAAAAAUUCCUAUAUAAUCAUCGGUCAAUGUGGACAAAUUGAAUAAGAUAGAAAAGUCUGUAUUUGGUUUCUUGGUGAAAAACAUAAGAUACAACUAUUUAUAAAGAACGAUAGAAUUGUUUUUAAUUUUAGGAUUCAAUAUGUGAAUAAAUAACAUCUUAUUCAAAUUAUAAUUAUUUUUUUUGGCAAGGAAUUAAAAUGGAACACUACUUUAUAUAUUUAUUUAGACUUAGAACUAAAUUGCACAAAAUCCAAAAUUAAUAUUUGAGCAGGCCCUAUAAGACUGCCAAGGGCUGGGCGUGUUUUGAUUUUGACUAAAAAAAAUCAAUCAUAUAAGUUGACUCUUGUUUCAACACAAAAAAAAUGAAAA